rnacentral:misc_RNA from 1 species
CCGAGUCUCGAACUCACCAAACCCCUGUGAACAUACCAGUGUUGCUUCGGCGGUCGACCCCGCCGCCUCCCCCUCGCCGGGGCGGCGCGGGGUUCCGCCAGAGGACCCUACAAAACCCUCUGUUUUCUUAGAAAGGAUUCCGCUCUGAGUAACAAAAAACAAACCAUUA